UUAUGACUGGGGUUGUCGCUGGCCUGUAACCGGGCAUGUGCACGCCCCUUUCACUAAUAUCCACAACACACCUGUGCACCUUUGCGGGGGCUCUUGGUCACCUUUCCGGGUGCCCGGGGGCUCGCGUCCUUUUACACACCCUUUUGUAUGUUAUUAAGAAUGUCUACUCGAUGUCAUAAAAACGCAUCUAAUACAACUUUCAACAACGGAUCUCUUGGCUCUCGCAUCGAUGAAGAACGCAGCGAAAUGCGAUAAGUAAUGUGAAUUGCAGAAUUCAGUGAAUCAUCGAAUCUUUGAACGCACCUUGCGCCCUUUGGUAUUCCGAAGGGCACACCUGUUUGAGUGUCGUGAAAUUCUCAACCCUCUUCACUUUGUUGUGAACGCAAGGGAUUGGACUUGGAGGUCUUUGCCGGACAUCUUUUUUUGUUCGGCUCCUCUCAAAUGCAUUAGUGCGUCUUGUUGCGACGUGCGCCUCGGUGUGAUAAUUAUCUACGCUGUGGUGCUCUUCGCUCCUGUUGAGACGCGCUUUCGAACCGUCCGAAAGGACAAAUCAUCGAACUUUGACCUCAAAUCAGGUGGGACUACCCGCUGAACUUAAGCAUAUCAAUAAGCGGAGGAAAAGAAACUAACAAGGAUUCCCCUAGUAACUGCGAGUGAAGCGGGAAAAGCUCAAAUUUAAAAUCUGGCGGUCUUCUGGCCGUCCGAGUUGUAGUCUGGAGAAGCGUUUUCCGCGUUGGACCGUGUACAAGUUUCCUGGAACGGAGCGUCAUAGAGGGUGAGAAUCCCGUCUUUGACACGGACCCCAAUGCUUUGUGAUGCGCUCUCAAAGAGUCGAGUUGUUUGGGAAUGCAGCUCAAAA
rnacentral:rRNA from 1 species